UACGAAGGGGACUAGCGUUGUUCGGAAUCACUGGGCGUAAAGCGCACGUAGGCGGAUUCGUAAGUCAGGGGUGAAAUCCCGGGGCUCAACCUCGGAACUGCCUUUGAUACUGCAAGUCUCGAGUCCGAUAGAGGUGGGUGGAAUUCCUAGUGUAGAGGUGAAAUUCGUAGAUAUUAGGAAGAACACCGGUGGCGAAGGCGGCCCACUGGAUCGGUACUGACGCUGAGGUGCGAAAGCGUGGGGAGCAAACAGG
rnacentral:rRNA from 1 species